rnacentral:lncRNA from 1 species
AAGCAGAAGGCUUCUGCGCGGGAAUGAAAGUGCGCAUGCGUAAGUGGGAGCAUGUUGCCGGUUUGAGUCUAACACUAGAUUUUAUUGGCUGUAGACACGCCCAGCAUCUUCUUGAGCUCCUCCCUGAGGUGGAUGGGCAGCUAGCUGCAGGUGGCACAGGAUGAUACACAUCUUUUCUCACGCCGCUUUGCCCUCUAGCUCCAAGAUCUCGGCUGCCAGAUGCAGCGACAGAGCUUCUUUGUACAUACAGCCCUGGACACACUUUCAGCAGCAACUCUUCUUGCGCGAGCUGGUGCAAGAACAGGAUUCAUCUGUGGCACAGGAACAGUUGGUGUCAACCGAUGGAGGCAGAGGAGAGACCAGAGCCGGUAGGUAUGCUAGGGGAGAUGACUUCAACUGAAGUGGAGUAAAUAAAGAUGAUUGCAGAACUUGGAAGCUGACGAAAUCAGUUUUGGAAAAGAGCUGGCUUGGAGCGUGACAGAAGGGAGAGAUGGAAAGAAUGCUGGGAGUCCAACUCAAGACUGAUGUGUGCUUGGCAGGCAGUCUACCCCAGUCUCAGUCCUCUAGCCUUUUGGCCUUUUUUCCUUUUUGGAGACAGGAUUGCAUCAUAGGGCAGCCUGGCCUCCUACACAGUCCUGCCUCAGUCUCUGGAGUGCUGGGAUUGUAGGCCUAUACCACCGCGCCUUUCUACAAU